rnacentral:rRNA from 1 species
GGUGAGUAACACGUGGGAACCUACCCUGAGGUGCGGAAUAACCGUUGGAAACGACGGCUAAUACCGCAUAUCCCCUGCGGGGGAAAGAUUUAUCGCCUUGGGAUGGGCCCGCGGUCGAUUAGCUAGUUGGUGUGGUAAUGGCGCACCAAGGCGACGAUCGAUAGCUGGUCUGAGAGGAUGACCAGCCACACUGGGACUGAGACACGGCCCAGACUCCUACGGGAGGCAGCAGUGGGGAAUAUUGGACAAUGGGCGCAAGCCUGAUCCAGCCAUGCCGCGUGAGUGAUGAAGGCCUUCGGGUUGUAAAGCUCUUUCAGGUGGGACGAUGAUGACGGUACCACCAGAAGAAGCCCCGGCUAACUUCGUGCCAGCAGCCGCGGUAAUACGAAGGGGGCUAGCGUUGUUCGGAUUUACUGGGCGUAAAGCGCGCGUAGGCGGUCCUGCCAGUCAGAGGUGAAAGCCCAGGGCUCAACCCUGGAACGGCCUUUGAUACUGCAGGACUUGAGUUCGGGAGAGGGGCAUGGAAUUCCCAGUGUAGAGGUGAAAUUCGUAGAUAU